rnacentral:rRNA from 1 species
GGCUCAGGACGAACGCUGGCGGCGUGCUUAACACAUGCAAGUCGAGCGACGCACUCCUUCGGGGGUGACGGAGCGGCGAACGGGUGAGUAACACGUGGGCAACCUGCCCUCAGCUCUGGGAUAACUCCGGGAAACCAGGGCUAAUACCGGAUAUGACAUCGGAUCGCAUGGUCUGGUGUGGAAAGUUCUUCGGCUGAGGAUGGGCCCGCGGCCUAUCAGCUUGUUGGUGGGGUGACGGCCUACCAAGGCGACGACGGGUAGCCGGCCUGAGAGGGCGACCGGCCACACUGGGACUGAGACACGGCCCAGACUCCUACGGGAGGCAGCAGUGGGGAAUAUUGCGCAAUGGGCGUAAGCCUGACGCAGCGACGCCGCGUGGGGGAUGAAGGCCUUCGGGUUGUAAACCUCUUUCAGCAGGGACGAAUUCAGACGGUACCUGCAGAAGAAGCACCGGCCAACUACGUGCCAGCAGCCGCGGUAAUACGUAGGGUGCAAGCGUUGUCCGGAAUUAUUGGGCGUAAAGAGCUCGUAGGCGGUCUGUCGCGUCGGCUGUGAAAACUUGGGGCUCAACCCCAAGCCUGCAGUCGAUACGGGCAGACUAGAGUGCGGUAGGGGAGACUGGAAUUCCUGGUGUAGCGGUGAAAUGCGCAGAUAUCAGGAGGAACACCGGUGGCGAAGGCGGGUCUCUGGGCCGUAACUGACGCUGAGGAGCGAAAGCGUGGGGAGCGAACAGGAUUAGAUACCCUGGUAGUCCACGCCGUAAACGGUGGGUGCUAGGUGUGAGCGGUAUUCCACGCCGUUCGUGCCGCAGCUAACGCAUUAAGCACCCCGCCUGGGGAGUACGGCCCGCAGGCUAAA